UACGUAGGUGGCGAGCGUUGUCCGGAUUUACUGGGCGUAAAGAGCGCGCAGGCGGUCGUACAAGUCGCGUGUGAAAGCCCCCGGCUCAACUGGGGAGGGUCACGCGAUACUGUUCGACUCGAAGGCAGGAGAGGGAAGUGGAAUUCCCGGUGUAGUGGUGAAAUGCGCAGAUAUCGGGAGGAACACCAGUAGCGAAGGCGGCUCGCUGGGCCAUUCCUGACGCUGAGACGCGAAAGCUAGGGGAGCGAACAGG
rnacentral:rRNA from 1 species